rnacentral:sRNA from 1 species
CACCAGGAGCUGCGAGAGGAGCUGGCCAAGGUGAAGACCCUGGAGGGCAUCGCUGCCGUGAGCCAGGAGCUGAAGCUGCGGUGUCAGGCAGGCGCUGGGGCUGGUGGGAGCCCGGCCUUGCGGGGGGUGAGGGGCUGGGGCCAUGACCAGGGCCUUGGGCUUUUGCAGGAGGAGAUAUCCAGGCAGGAGGGAGUGAAGCCCACCGGCGACUUGCCCUUCCACUGGAUCUGCCAGCCCUACAUCCGGCCGGGGUGAGAGCCCAGCCAGCCCUGGGCGGGGAUGUGCACCAAGGUGUGGGCUCCACCCUGUGCCCACAGUGCUGCGCCUGCCCUGCUUGUCCUCAGCCAUUAUGGUCAGUCAGCUCCUACCCGAGGGAAAGGAGGAGGGAGGCCUCGGCUUCGAGCAGCACACACCUUCCACGUGCCCCUCGGUGUCCUUGGUGGAGGGUGCUGGUGGCUCAGCUGUGUCCUCCCUGAGUGGACACUCGGAUUUUAAAUCUUUUCUUCCAUAAGAUACUUCUCUGAGUUCCUCUGAUCCUGGUGGAUUUGCCCGUGGGUCAAGAGGUUGACCCCAGCUUCCGCUAGGUUCUCAGAGGUAAGGCCAUCUGUGGCCACAGCCCUACCUGGAGCUGGUGGCUCAGAGCUUGGGGCUGCCCGAGCUGCGGACUCCAUCUCAGAGGCCCCAGAUCCCUAGUGGCCACUCCUGAGUGGGCUGCCCAUGCUCCUCACAGCAACCGCACUCGCCACGGCCGCCUGGCCCCUCCUUAACCUGGGGCCUCACCCGGACUCAGACCUGU